rnacentral:rRNA from 1 species
GACGAACGCUGGCGGCGUGCUUAACACAUGCAAGUCGAACGAGGCCCUGCCUUCGGGCAGGUGACCUAGUGGCGAACGGGUGAGUAACACGUGGGCAACCUACCCUCAGCUCUGGGAUAACCCCGGGAAACCGGAGCUAAUACCGGAUACGACCAGGAGCGACAUCGCUUCCUGGUGGAAAGUUUUUCGGCUGAGGAUGGGCCCGCGGCCUAUCAGCUUGUUGGUGGGGUAAAGGCCUACCAAGGCGACGACGGGUAGCCGGCCUGAGAGGGCGAACGGCCACACUGGGACUGAGACACGGCCCAGACUCCUACGGGAGGCAGCAGUGGGGAAUAUUGCGCAAUGGGGCGAAAAGCCUGACGCAGCGACGCCGCGUGAGGGAUGAAA